AGCGUAGGCGGUUUGAUAAGUUAUAUGUGAAAGCCCUUGGCUUAACCAAGGAAAUGCAUAUAAUACUGUUGAACUUGAGUAUUGGAGAGGAAGAUGGAAUUUUCAGUGUAGCGGUAAAAUGCUUAGAUAUUGGAAAGAACACCGGAGGCGAAGGCGGUCCUCUGGCCAAAUACUGACGCUGAGGCUCGAAAGCGUGGGGAGCAAACA
rnacentral:rRNA from 1 species